rnacentral:rRNA from 1 species
UAAUACGGAGGAUCCAAGCGUUAUCCGGAUUUAUUGGGUUUAAAGGGUGCGUAGGCGGAUUAUUAAGUCAGUGGUGAAAGCCUGCAGCUUAACUGCAGAACUGCCAUUGAUACUGAUGAUCUUGAGUACAGUUGAGGUGGGCGGAAUGUGUCAUGUAGCGGUGAAAUGCUUAGAUAUGACACAGAACACCAAUUGCGAAGGCAGCUCGCUAAACUGUAACUGACGCUGAGGCACGAAAGCGUGGGGAUCAAACAGGAUUAGAUACCCUGGUAGUCCACGCCCUAAACGAUGAUAACUCGAUGUUAGCGAUAUACUGUUAGCGUCUAAGCGAAAGCAUUAAGUUAUCCACCUGGGGAGUACGGUCGCAAGAUUG